rnacentral:rRNA from 1 species
UACGUAGGGUGCGAGCGUUGUCCGGAAUUAUUGGGCGUAAAGGGCGCGUAGGCGGUCGGAUAAGUCUUGUGUGAAAUCUUCGGGCUCAACUCGAAGUCUGCACAGGAAACUAUCUGGCUUGAGUGUGGGAGAGGUGAGUGGAAUUCCUGGUGUAGCGGUGAAAUGCGUAGAUAUCAGGAGGAACACCUGUGGCGAAAGCGGCUCACUGGACCACAACUGACGCUGAGGCGCGAAAGCUAGGGGAGCAAACAGG